UGGGGUAUCGCCAAGCGGUAAGGCACCGGAUUCUGAUUCCGGCAUUCCGAGGUUCGAACCCUCGUACCCCAG
rnacentral:tRNA from 2 species